CAGCAGCCGCGGUAAUACGGAGGUGGCGAGCGUUGUUCGGAAUGACUGGGCGUAAAGGGAGCGCAGGCGGCCUUUUAAGUCCGGCGUGAAAGCCCGGGGCUCAACCCCGGCGGGUCGGCGGAUACUGGGAGGCUGGAGUACGGAAGAGGAGAGUGGAAUUCCGGGUGUAGCGGUGAAAUGCGUAGAUAUCCGGAGGAACACCGGUGGCGAAAGCGGCUCUCUGGUCCGAUACUGACGCUGAGGCUCGAAAGCGUGGGGAGCAAACGGGAUUAGAUACCCCGGUAGUCCACGCCGUAAACGUUGUGCGCUUGGUGUGGGCGGUAUCGACCCCGCCUGUGCCGGAGCUAACGCAUUAAGCGCACCGCCUGGGGAGUACGCCCGCAAGGCUAAAACUCAAAGGAAUUGACGG
rnacentral:rRNA from 1 species